rnacentral:rRNA from 1 species
UACGUAGGGGCCGAGCGUUGUCCGGAGUUACUGGGCGUAAAGCGCGCGCAGGCGGCGCAUCGCGCCCGGCGUGAAAGCCCCCCGGCUCAACCGGGGGAGGGUCGUCGGGGGACGAGUGCGCUUGAGGACGGCAGGGGCAGGUGGAAUUCCCGGUGUAGUGGUGAAAUGCGUAGAGAUCGGGAGGAACACCCGUGGCGAAGGCGGCCUGCUGGGCCGAUCCUGACGCUGAGGCGCGAAGGCGUGGGGAGCGAACGGG